CCCAGUGUCUGCACCAGACUGCACUGAAAGGGGAAGGCUGGGGAAAUCAAGAAAAUCCACUUUAACUUUGUCAAUAAACAAAUUAAUCCCAUAGCAUUUUCCUAAAAUACAUUUGCGUUUCUUCUUGCACCACAAAACCAGUAACUUGUACAGAGGAAUUUGCAUAAGAGGAAGACAAAUUCACCAGGCAAAAAUCUGCUUCUUCCCGGCACUGACCAGGAACUGAGGGCCUGAACUUAGUCUGCUGCUCCCCAGCUCUUACAGAGACGUGGCAAUGUUUGCUGUGGCUACCGGGCCUGAGACAUCAGCAGUGAUAUCACGUGAGGAAAGGAAAAUGUUCAAAACCUCGGCUCUUCGUUCAUCAGGGAAGCUGGUAUCAACAGAAACUUUUCAGUACAUAUCAAAGGAGAGUGGUGACAGAAGUGAGAAAAAUAAAAUGCUGCACAUCAUUAUCUUCCUACUGAAUCUAGCAGGUUUGCAAACAAACACUCACCCAAAACGCAGAAGCUCAAAAGAUGCAGAAUAAAGCCACGUGCUCCUGGUUAUGGAGUCGCUGAAGAUUUGGGCAGUCAGGCAUGCGCUGGUACUUGGCAGACAGACUGUCUACAAUCCACAGCCCUCACUGCUCUCUUCCCUGCACUCGUGGGGUUUGGAAUCACAUCUGUCAUGAUGCUCCUCUAACAAGAAAACUGAACCCAAAACUCUCUGCAGGCAGAAACAGAUUUUUUUUCUCAGCUGUUAUUUCUAAUACAAGUUUUUUUACCAGGGAAUCGGGCUGAUUAAGAACUCUUAACUGGAAAGGAAUGAGAUGGAGGUUCUGAGUAUGACAAAAUACUAGCAAGAGUCUUCUAAGUGGCAGAGGUGAGGUUUGUGUUUCUUUGUUGUCUAACUGAUUUUAUUUCAUUUAUAUACCAAACCUAUAAUUUCUGUGCUGCCCAGCUGACUUGAAUGUUUUCGUCUGUGCCUUUCAGUUUGCUGAACUUGACUGACAGCUGUUUGAAAUUGCUCAGUGUGAUCAACGGGAGCAACUCCCUUAUAUUUACUUCAGAAAAGUUAGUAAUAUUGUGACAGAUGACUUUGCUGAGUUACAUCGCACUCCCUCAGACAGAUGUAAGGGGGCAAUUUGGGACAUGUCAAUGCUGAUGUUCAUACAGAGGGGCAUUACGUUCCUGCACCCACAAAGAGGGUGCUAGAAGUAAAAAUAGUACUUAGGCAAGGCAGCAGCUCUCUCCUGCUUCGCCUCUGUACCAGAUACUCUUGGUUUUUAAAGACGUUCUUCAGUGUUUUGCGCAUCCCCUGAACGCUCGGUAGCUGCGGAAGGCACGGCCAGCCUGGAGCCCUAUUCCAGGUCACCGUGCCCGUGUGCUGCCUGCGGAUCCGAGUCACGGACCUUGGGGCAGGCACGAUUUCGCCUUAUUCAGCUCUGCUGCUUUAUCUCUGCGGUGCUUUCCUAUUGCCAUGACAGCCGAGAAGCCGCCCCCUAACCCCGGCUCCCUGAGCGAGUGAGAGGAACGGUCCCUGAGGGAGAGGAACGGUGUUCCUGCGGUGCGAUCCAGUCUCUGUCCUGGUGUUCCUGUGGUGCGGUCCCGGUGUCUCUGCUCUCAGUCCCAUCUCUGUCCCGGUGUCUCUUUUCUCAGACCCGUGUCUGUCCCGGUGUCUCUGCUCUCAGUCCCAUCUGUCCCGGUGUCUCCGCUGGCAGUCCCGUGUCUGUCCCGGUGUCUCUGCUCUCAGCCCCGUCUCUGGCCCAGUGUCUCCACUGGCAGUCCCGUCUCUGUCCCAGUGUCUCUGCUCUCAGUCCCGUCUCUGUUCCAGCACAGGCAGCGAUGCCAUCCAGCGAGCAGGAGCAGCAGGCUUCUGACACCAAACACCGGGAAAUGUGCCUGUCCUGUCGGCCCACAGAAGGGAAGGGCAGGACCGCACUGCCCAAGGAAUCUCUUGGAAUCCUCUUGGAAUCCUCAUGCCAAGGUCCCCUCCAGACGUGGGUUUGAAUCAUGCUUUGAUGUUUGCAUGCCGUUUUGAGUUGCCUUUUCUUCCCCCCACUUUUGAGCUGAACAAUUUCUCCCAGGAGGGAUUUUUGUCUCCUGCUGCACUCGAUGCCCGUGCUGCCUGCGGGAACACGACAGCUGCCGGGUCCCACUCGCUGCUGCGCACAUGCAGGGGUGCCUUUCCUGCAGGGGAGGCAGUGUGGGCACCGCGGACGAGGCGGCUCCGGGCAUGCACCUUCUCAGCAGUGAAGCCCCCUGCCCCCGGCCAUUUGCUCCGGAAUGAAGGCACUGCUCUUUGUUAGGUCCCAGUGCAGCAGCGAGGUGCCUCAGCAGCACAGCGGGGACAUCGGGGAUCCCAAGGAGCGGUUCCGUGCUCCUUCCAAAGGCCGCAUCCCACGGCAGCAUCCCUCACUGGCCCUCAGGAGCCGGCUGCAGGAGGAGCCAGCAAACCAGCGGCGGGGUUUGCGAGGGAACAACUCCGCCUUGUCACAAACAACAUUCCUUCCUGCUAUUUCAGGGUCUGGAAACCAGUGGCUUCCAGUGGCUGGGCUGAAUUUUUGCUCCAGACUGAAAGGAGAGGAGCAAUGUCCAUUAUUGCAGCAGCCAGGAAACAAUUAUACAGCCAAAAAGUGAGGAGACAAGAAGAUGCUGGUUUCGCUCUGUCUUGGCAAUGAGGAUGGUUAUUUAAUAAAUGCAAUGGCUAGCUUUUACUUCAGAACACGCUUUCAAACAGACAGAGGAGCUUGCACUCCCAGCUGGAAGGAUUCCAGGUAGGGCAGCAGCAGGGACAGUAAUCCCAUUGUAAGGCUCCCCACUGUGCCCCAGUGCACCUAUCCAUGAAUAGUGAGGGCCCAAAUCUUUAAUUCCUGUGGCUUUGGUUAUCAAGGAUGCCACAGCAGAUCACACACUUAAGAAGAUUACCUAUUAAGAUGAAAAAAAAUUGGUAAGUUUUCCAUUUUAAAACAUCCAUAUAGGGGGAAAAUUAUUUUAAACCUUGAAUAUAUUCAUACAAUAGAGGCAAUGUUGAUGCUUAGGCCUGUCACAAGAAAUUCUGAGGUUAGUUCCACUGUUUUCUUAUCUUCUGAAGUGAAUUUGUUCUCUCCCUGUUGCAGUCACACGUAAGUUACUACCUAGCAGCCACAUUUUUAAAGGAACAAAGUCAGCUCGCUGCAGGUAGGGGCGAGGGUAGCUUAGUACCUAAGCACUUGGCUAACACCUCUAAAAUUUCCUGUGGCCUAAUUCUGCAAGUACUUGAGCAGCUUUGCUUUUGUGAGCAGUCCCACAGAAGUCAACAGAAUGUCUAAAUAUAAAAUCACACGGGAUGAAGUUUCACUGCCAAAAUGUGUAAUCCUGUAAACUGCACUAAUGGAGAUGUUUCAAGCAGAUAACUAAAGAUAACUUCAAUGAUUAAGACUAAGUAAAAAUAGGAUAGUGUAGCAAGGACUGGGUAUAUUUAAUGAAGUGGCUAAGAGCUACUAAAUUAUAACUUCAUCUCUCAAUCCAGGCUUUGAAUCUGAUGCUUUAAGAUUGGCAGAUCAUGAGAGUUUCCAACAAAAAUGAGAGUUUCUUUGCUGUAUCCACAAUUCUGCUUUGCUGUAUCUAAAUUGGCUGAGACAUGGUUAGUCACUGGUACAGGAAGCACUGGUAAAUUAAAUUGUGUUUUAAAUUACCGCAGACUACCUAACUUUAACAUUGCCAUGAAUAUCAAAGCAUUUCUAAAGGUUUGUAAGAAAUGAUGAUAACUGGGGGGUUUUGCUACAUUGACUAUUAUGGUUAAUGAAACAAGAUGCAAAGGUUGUUGUUCUACUGCCUGUACCAGUGAAAAAGCUCACUGAGAACAGAUAGUUCAUGAAUGCUUAAGCUACAAUUUAACCAUGGUCUGGAAGGCAGUUUUAGCACUGAUCACACAUCUUUCAGUUAGGCACACACCUCAAUUCCCAAGGUGCUUUAAAAAGUACAAUUAUUUGAAAUUUGAAAUGUUUACUACCUGUAAGCAAACUCCAAAAUAUUGGAAAAGCAAAUGAACACACAGAUAAAGGACAGAGAGAAGACUAGGUAAAAAUGUAAACAAAUAUUCAUACAGUUCAGUUAUACUCUAUUUACAUAGCAGAAUGAUACUACAGCUGCUGUGAAACUCCGCUGGAACCACAACCAGAAAGGAUUUUUUAUUUCUACAUGUCUUUUACCCUCUUAGGGAGAAAAAUAUUUCCCACCUGUCUUAGUAAAAGGUGAAUGCCAUUUAAUCAUCAAGUUUGAUAUUUACAAAGGACUCUAACUGCUUUCAUGUACAAAAGAGACAAGAGAAUAUAAUUCAUUAAAUGAUUAUGUAGGUGCUGGUUUGGUGAUUCAGUGUUUGCUAUUCAUAGAUUUUUUGACAUAAACAGCACGAAACUGCAAGCUAAACUGAUGGACAAGUUGACUUGAGCUCAGUUGACUUGAGCCAUGUUAUUUAAAUCAUCUCUUUCUGUGGCAGUGCUAACCUAAGAGUAAACAGAAGGUAUUUGAGAGUACUGUGAACAGGCUGGCAGGCAGUAAUUAUGAGAGACUCAUCAAGGAGAUGGCAUAAAGUGAGUCUAUUACCUGUUCUACAAACAAAAAUGAUGGCUCUGAGACCCUGGAUCACGAACAUCAUGUUUACCAAGACUCUCAGGCUCGUCACACAAAGAAUGAAAUCCUGUCACUAAUUGUCAGCAUGCUGACAGCACUCAGAAGUGCAAGUUCAAAAACCAUCUCUGCGAGCUAGAGAAAUUCUUUUUAAAUCUAAUACAGUCAAAACCACAGUAAAUUUACAUGAGUUUUAAUAGUUUUAGUAAUUUCAGUGCAACACCUUACCUGUUACCCUGCAAAAAGAAUGAGUGAGUGCUGAUCCCUUCAUUGCUGCAGUAUCAGCCCCAAGAAACACGCUGCAGGGGAGUCACGUUUUACAGAGGAGAAGCUGAAUGAAUUCCCCUGGUGUUUCCUGUGCCUAAUCGGAUCGGGGAUGGUAAUCUGGGAGGAGCCAGCAACGAUCUUUUCUUAACCUGCACUGCGUGGGGAGUGCCUCGGGGACCAUGCAGAUAAUCACCCCUAAACUGCUUUGGAAAGGUCUGCCCGGCCUUUAAAGGGAUUGAGGCAAACAGGCCGCAGCAGCCCCAGCUCUGCUCUUCCUGUCCACCUCAUCUCCUAUUAGCAACAAGUAAGUAGGCAUUUAUUUGUGUGCAUCUACGUGCACCACACAAAUAAACACGGAGCCCCAGAGAGAAUUUUGUGAAGUGAGAUUAAUUACAGUUAAACUGAUAUAAUGAUUUUGAAAUGCCAUGAAAAGAGAAUUAGAUAGAAAUGCUCCAUUGCUGUCUGGGCUUAUCAUUGUUAUCUGCACAAAACAUUUUUCCUUACCCAGUAAAAGAACAAAA